GAUGAACGCUGGCGGCGUGCCUAACACAUGCAAGUCGAACGGCGUCGUUUUGGAAAUCUCUUCGGAGAUGGAAUUCUCGACUUAGUGGCGGGCGGGUGAGUAACGCGUGAGCAAUCUGCCUUUAAGAGGGGGAUAACAGUCGGAAACGGCUGCUAAUACCGCAUAACGCAUUAAAUUCGCAUGUUUUUGAUGCCAAAGUAGAAUUCCGCUUUUAGAUGAGCUCGCGUCUGAUUAGCUAGUUGGCGGGGUAACGGCCCACCAAGGCGACGCUCAGUAGCCGGACUGAGAGGAUGAACGGCCACAUUGGGACUGAGACACGGCCCAGACUCCUACGGGAGGAAGGAGUGAGGAAUAUUGCGCAAUGGGGGAAUCCCUGACGCAGGAACGCCGCGUGAAUGAAGAAGGUCUUCGGGAUGAAAAGAUCUUUAAUCAGGGACGAAACAAAUGACGGUACCUGAAGAAUAAGCACCGGCUAACUACGUG
rnacentral:rRNA from 1 species